AUGCCAAUGGCAUUGCCCGGUAGCUACGUUCGGAACUGAUAAGCGCUGAAAGCAUCUAAGCGCGAAGCAGGCCUCGAGAUGAUUUCUCACUAGACUUUUAAAGUCUCUGAAGGGCCGUUGAAGACUACAACGUUGAUAGGCAAGAUGUGGAAGUGGUGUGAGCCAUUAAGCUAACUUGUACUAAUUACCCGUGAGGCUUAACCAUACAACGCCAAACGCGUUUUG
rnacentral:rRNA from 1 species